UACGAAGGGGGCUAGCGUUGCUCGGAAUUACUGGGCGUAAAGGGCGCGUAGGCGGCACUGUUAGUCAGGCGUGAAAGUCCUGGGCUCAACCUGGGAACUGCGCUUGAUACGGCAGAGCUAGAGGAUGGAAGAGGCUCGCGGAAUUCCCAGUGUAGAGGUGAAAUUCGUAGAUAUCGGGAGGAACACCGGUGGCGAAGGCGGCGAUCUGGGUCGAUACUGACGCUGAGGUGCGAAAGCG
rnacentral:rRNA from 1 species